rnacentral:rRNA from 1 species
AGUAAUGUAUGGGGAUCUGCCCGAUAGAGGGGGAUAACUACUGGAAACGGUGGCUAAUACCGCAUAAUGUCUACGGACCAAAGCAGGGGCUCUUCGGACCUUGCACUAUCGGAUGAACCCAUAUGGGAUUAGCUAGUAGGUGGGGUAAAGGCUCACCUAGGCGACGAUCCCUAGCUGGUCUGAGAGGAUGAUCAGCUACACUGGGACUGAGACACGGCCCAG